GACGAACGCUGGCGGCGUGCCUAACACAUGCAAGUCGAACGGGACCAGGGGCAACUCUGGUUCAGUGGCGGACGGGUGCGUAACACGUGAGGAACAUGACCUUGGCGGGGGAGUAGCCGGCCCAACGGCCGGGUAAUACCGCGUACGACCUUUCGGGACAUCCCUGGAUGGUGAAAGCAGCAAUGCGCCGAUGGAGUGCCUCGCGGCCUAUCAGCUAGUUGGUGAGGUAACGGCUCACCAAGGCGACGACGGGUAGCUGGUCUGAGAGGAUGGCCAGCCACAUUGGGACUGAGACACGGCCCAGACUCCUACGGGAGGCAGCAGUGGGGAAUAUUGCGCAAUGGACGAAAGUCUGACGCAGCGACG
rnacentral:rRNA from 1 species